GACAGAGGGUGCAAACGUUGUUCGGAAUUACUGGGCGUAAAGCGCGUGUAGGCGGCUCUGCAAGUCGGGUGUGAAAUCCCACGGCUCAACCAUGGAAGUGCACUCGAAACUGCAGGGCUAGAGUCCUGGAGAGGAAGGUGGAAUGCUUGGUGUAGAGGUGAAAUUCGUAGAUAUCAAGCGGAACACCGGUGGCGAAGGCGGCCUUCUGGACAGUGACUGACGCUGAGACGCGAAAGCGUGGGGAGCAAACAGG
rnacentral:rRNA from 1 species